GCGUCGCGCGAGACCUGCGACCGCGUACGCGCCGCCCUCCCGCCCGGCAGCGGGGACUUUCCCGCCUCAGGGUCGCGGCUGGUGGCGGCCGUCUCCUCCCCGUCCCCGGUAGGAGCGCGAGCGGAUUUAGAGUCCUCGGAAGUCCGCCGUGCCGUCCGGCCACGGGUAGAGGGAGGCAAAGAGAAGGAGGACUUGACAGUGGGCCCGUGGGGGGCCAUUCGGUAAACUCCGGAGAGACGAGGGUCCUGAGUGGGAGGGAGCCACGGGCUCGCGAGGAGGCUGCGAGGCGUUCCUCGGCCUUUCGGGAUGUGAUGCUCGCCCGGGAAGGGGCUGUGGGGACCGCAGAGCCGUGACUCGCCCGGGACCCAGAGCAGAAGCGCCAGGUCGCUUCUGGCAUUUUACCUGCAAAAGCAGAUGAGCACACGAGCCCAGAGAGCUGAUUUCCCCCGGUCGCACAGCUAGAGAGCCCAGGAUGGCUUCUUGCUCAGUGCCAUACUCCGUGAAAGUUACUGGAGAGACGGGCCAGAUUCUACAGAGCAUACCUCUGGACUUCUGUCCGCAGAAAGCAGUUUCUACACAGCUAACUUAGAACAGAAGGGAGAGGAAGUGAUGAAGAGGAUUAACACCCUGCUUCUAAUUCUGGCCAACUCAGAGGCUCUGCACGGAAAGUCAGAAGUGACAGGAAUCCUGGAAGAGGGCCACCUGGCCAUCAGAAAAUUCCAGAGGGAUGUGGUCACUGCCAGACAUACAGUCGCUCCAGAAUUUUUCCCGGACUCCCCCCCAGCCCGCCGUGGUGCACUAACCCCUUCAGGCUGUGUUCAUGCUGCCAACCCAAGUCCUCUCCCUGCAAUCCAACCGAAUCCCGAGCCUCAGCUCCCAAAGUCAACUUUUGACAACCAAAUCUGGACAACAGUUUGACUCAUAUGUAUACAGUAAAAUAUUGGCCGUUUCAUCCGUAAAUGUUCUUUAAACUAACCGGAAGUGGGCCUGGCUCUAAGCUACUGCCAAGUCUCCCCUGUCGUUGGUUUUCCUGUGUGUGUAAAGGAAGGCGUGAGGAAAAGAAAAGGACACCCCUGUCACAGCUGGAGCAUACUGAAGAUCUCCCAGUUUUGCAAAAUACAUGCAAGGGGGACUAUAAGAUGGAACAGAGCUCUGAUUAUCCAUACUUAUUCAUUCAUGGCCGGUGUUAUCUAAUAUUAAUAAAGCAAACAAAUGCAAUGCAAAAUGGUCUUUCAGGAUCACAGUUCCCUAGCGCCAGAAAGGGAGAUACCCAUUCACUGCAAAAGGAAAAUCCCAACCAAUGCUCGACCCCAGGCGAAACCCAACACAGUAGGGAAGGAUACCCUGUUACCGAAGACGUUUCCACUGACCAGUGCAUACUGAUACGCACACAUACAACAACUGUGACUCUGCUUCCAUGCUGGAACCUGGGUGCCCUGGAAGUGUUCUUCAUCCAUCUCUGGAUGGCCUGCUACACGUAUGCAUUCCAUGACCAGUGCAGUGUGCUUAUGAUGAGCGGGUGCGUAUAAUAAACUACUGGAAAUCGCUGAGGUUUUGAUCCUCCCUGAAUACAGAAAGUUUGACUCCUGUCAGCCAUAGUCUCUGUUUAAAAUACUUAGGAGCUGGUUUCCACAGCGGUCUGCCAAGCCUUCCAUGACGGAUGGCGGCAGCCACGCCGAGUCGGGGGCACUUCACUCACUGUGGACGUGCGGGGCCGGGGCACGUGUUGCUGCUUCUCACACCAGGUCGAGGAGCCAAGACUGUGCUGUGAGAAGAGUAGGAAGCCACUCGAGGACACGCCGAAUUUCCGUCUCCAGUCUGAGGGUUACGGACAGGGAUGUCCAGCAUCGUCUUUGUCAGGGGCUCCUCUGUUGAAGCCGUUUGCCUGUUAGUAUCCGGGCUUCCCUGGGGAUGUGUCCUUUACACUAGUUCUCUCACUUUCAGAGCCGCUGUCGUGACUGGUCACCCAGGUACGACACAGGUAUUUCUAUCCAUCCGCCCCACACCAAAGCCCUCCCGUAUCCUGGGCAGGAAGGGCCGCCGGGGUCCUUUAGAACCUGACACUGAUACCUGCAGGGAGGGGCCUGAUCCUAAAAUACACGAGAGGAUCCAGCACCGAACACCCGGGUGAUGCCAUCGUGAGAAAUUCGGGAAAUGCCGCUUGAGGUAACGGGUCUAUCAGUGGUGCUCCGCCUCCAUCCUUAGAGGCACGAUGUUCCCUGCAAGCCUGCCUGCCUGCUCCACAGUAAAGGAAGCGAAACAAUAAAUACGGGUGCACUGCCCUGCCCUGUGGGAAGCGCUCGCGUACCCAGCCCUUGAUGCCCAGACCGGUCCCUGCCUCGCCUCCCGUCUCCUCCGCUCCGGCCAUCCCGAGCCGUGUCGCCGGCGGCACCAUUACCGACCCUCCUCCUCACUGUGGGAAGUCCCUCAGGCAUCCCAGGCCCUCCCGGGACGUCCAGGCCCCACGGCUUUCCUGUAACACCCUCCCUUCCACCAAACUGCUCUUCGGUAGGUCUGCGAACGCCUCGUACCACGUCUGCGCACCAGCACGGGGGGUGGAGCCCUCUCCCCGCUCUUGGUCCAGCCUCGCCCUCCCUUCCAGGCCCCCGAUUGCGUGGCCCCCAACGCGCUCUGCUCACUCACAGGGGACCGGGGUGCUUCUGUCCUGGUGCCGCGCUUGGCGUGCGCUGUGCCUCGUCGGGCGGGAGACGGUUCUCCAAGGGCCUCUCCUGUGUCUGACAUCUUGCGGGCGGAGACGCUGACACCUCGGUUCUGGAUGGACCGUCUUUACAAGGACGCUACACGGUGGACAGCCUGCAACCUCGGAGAUGGAGGUUCCCUCUGGAGAACGGGCGGCAGCCUUACUUCCCAUCGUGCAAGCUUUGCCUGCCUUGGUCUCCAGGUUCCUCUCCUGUAAUGCCACCCGCUGCCGUUCAGUCGCCAUGUGGCCACCUGAGUCACCCUGCGGGAACUGGGGAACUAGCACCAGAAAAGACGCACCCAGACUACUGCUAUAAUUAAGUCCUUUAUCUCUGACCCAGGGUCCUGCGUCUCCUGCCAGCACCCAGGACACGGGCGGGCUAGCUCCUCACUCAACAAGUGGGGGAAAAUCUCGGCCCUUUCACAGCUCUUGACAGGACCUUACUCUGGGAGUCUCAUCUCCCCCAAAUGAGAAAGUCAAGGGUAGAGACAGGAAUCCUGUAUUAUAUUUCCUAACACCUCUGAUGUUUCCCCUACACAUUCUAGUACACAGUAAGGCUUUUUGAUGAUGAAAUAAAUGACAUUGAUAAUAAAGGCAAAUAAUCAUA